rnacentral:rRNA from 1 species
UACGGAGGAUGCGAGCGUUACCCGGAUUUAUUGGGUUUAAAGGGUGCGUAGGCGGGCUUUUAAGUCAGCGGUAAAAAUUCGGGGCUCAACCCCGUCCGGCCGUUGAAACUGGGGGUCUUGAGUGGGCGAGAAGAAGGCGGAAUGCGUGGUGUAGCGGUGAAAUGCAUAGACAUCACGCAGAACCCCGAUUGCGAAGGCAGCCUUCCGGCGCCCUACUGACGCUGAGGCACGAAAGUGCGGGGAUCGAACAGG